AUCCUACAGUAGAAUGUCUGGUGGCUGGAAAGGCCACCUUUGCUUUGCUCCUAUAACUGCAGUUAAGGCCACCUUAUGUGGUGAUUAUGACAACUUCCUGCAUUUAAAUGUCAUGAUUCAAGCAAUUGCAUUGAAGAGGUUGUUCAGCAAAAACAUAUUGACAUGGUCUGUCAUCUGCAGGCAAGCAGAGUGCUGACCCAGGCGUCAGAGUCACCUUUGAGGCAGGGAGAUUUAAAGUCUUCUGUGCAAGAAGAAGAGGGGAGCAAUUUUCAGAUUGCUUAAACAGAAGAAGAGAAUGGUUGAUAAGGGGAGGCAUGGCUGCAUUGGGUCCUUUCAGAUGCUUUGAAACUGCUUUUGAGGAAAAAAUACCUGAUUAAAAAUGGUGUUUUAUUAUAGGAUUCACUACUGAAUUGUGGUUUUUUUUGUUUUGUUUUGUUUUUUUUGUUUUCUUUCUGGAGUGUUCUCUAUUUUUCCAUUUUAGUUUUAUUGAGUCUGGAAUCUGUCAUGUAGUUACAAACUUAACCAACCUUUAAAAAGCUGGUUAAACUGAAGAGGGGAAAAAAGUCAAUACUUGCUCUCAGCUAUACAUUUAUUUAAAAAAACAAAGCACCAAAAUCUAUUACCCUUGCUUAUUUCACUUUGGCUUCCUGAGCUCAGUGCCUUAUUCUGGGACAAUGCUGCUAUUUUGAGCUUCUAAGCCCUUCUUCUGUUGUUUGAGUGCAAUGUGGACCAUGAAACAGUGCUGGGCAAGUAGUUCUAUUGGUUAUAGAGUACCCUGUAACAGCUCACUGUCUCUGUGGUCAGGCUGCUGUUGGUUGGGUUUAUCUGUUGUCUGCUGGGUACAGAAU
rnacentral:lncRNA from 1 species